GACGAACGCUGGCGGCGUGCUUAACACAUGCAAGUCGAACGGAAAGGCCCUGCUUUUGUGGGGUGCUCGAGUGGCGAACGGGUGAGUAACACGUGAGUAACCUGCCCUUGACUUUGGGAUAACUUCAGGAAACUGGGGCUAAUACCGGAUAGGAGCUCCUGCUGCAUGGUGGGGGGUGGAAAGUUUCGGCGGUUGGGGAUGGACUCGCGGCUUAUCAGCUUGUUGGUGGGGUAGUGGCUUACCAAGGCUUUGACGGGUAGCCGGCCUGAGAGGGUGACCGGCGACAUUGGGACUGAGAUACGGCCCAGAGUCCUACGGGAGGCAGCAGUCGGGAAUAUUGCCCAAUGGGAGGAAGCCUGAUGCAGCAACGCCGCGUGCGGGAUGACGGCCUUCGGGUUGUAAACCGCUUUCGCCUGUGACGAAGCGUGAGUGACGGUAAUGGGUAAAGAAGCACCGGCUAACUACGUG
rnacentral:rRNA from 1 species